UUGUCGACUUGCGGGUGCUUUAAUGGCUGAGAGUUGGUUGAGACACCGUUUGAACCUGAACAUGGUAAUGCAUGCGAAGGGAAAGUUGGCAAGAUGUGG
rnacentral:ncRNA from 1 species